GGCUACGGCCGUACCACCCUGAACGCGCCCGGUCUCGUCCGCUCUCAGAAGCUAAGCAGGGUUGGGCGUGGUUAGUCCUUGGAUGGGGGACCUGCACGCGUGUGUAGCAGCGA
rnacentral:rRNA from 1 species